GCCUGGGUGGCUCAGUUGGUUAAGCGUCUGACUUCGGCUCAGGUCAUGAUCUCGUGGUCCGUGAGUUCGAGCCCCGCAUCGGGCU
rnacentral:tRNA from 1 species